UACAUGUGGGGCAAGCGUUGUUCGGAAUUACUGGGCAUAAGGGGUGCGUAGGUGGUUUGUUAAGUCAGGGGUGAAAGUUUUCGGCCCAACCGGAAAAUGGCCUUUGAUACUGGCGAACUCGAGUGCGUGAGGGGUGACCGGAACGAGCAGUGUAGCGGUGAAAUGCGUAGAUAUUGCUCGGAAGGCCAACGGCGAAGGCAGGUCACUGGUGCGCAACUGACACUGAGGCACGAAAGCGUGGGGAGCAAACAGG
rnacentral:rRNA from 1 species